rnacentral:tRNA from 1 species
UGGGUAAAAGCUCAUAGGUUGGAGCACUUAGCUGUUAACUAAGAAGUUGCAAGAUCAAAGCUUGCUUACCCAG